rnacentral:rRNA from 1 species
GACGAACGCUGGCGGCGUGCUUAACACAUGCAAGUCGAACGGAAAGGCCCUGCUUUUGUGGGGUGCUCGAGUGGCGAACGGGUGAGUAACACGUGAGUAACCUGCCCUUGACUUUGGGAUAACUUCAGGAAACUGGGACUAAUACCGGAUAGGAGCUCCUGCUGCAUGGUGGGGGUUGGAAAGUUUCGGCGGUUGGGGAUGGACUCGCGGCUUAUCAGCUUGUUGGUGGGGUAGUGGCUUACCAAGGCUUUGACGGGUAGCCGGCCUGAGAGGGUGACCGGCCACAUUGGGACUGAGAUACGGCCCAGACUCCUACGGGAGGCAGAAGUGGGGAAUAUUGCACAAUGGGCGGAAGCCUGAUGCAGCAACGCCGCGUGCGGGAUGACGGCCUUCGGGUUGUAAACCGCUUUCGCCUGUGACGAAGCGUGAGUGACGGUAAUGGGUAAAGAAGCACCGGCUAACUACGUG